GACGCAAAAGCCAGGAUGGGGAUGGUGAAUUAUCAUAGCGUGGAGCAGUGGACGGUGGGGGUAGCGGUGUCUGGGGUUGAGAAGACCGUGGAGAGAUACACAGAAGUGUCUCCAGCUUCCAGAACACUCUAUAUCACUACAGGUGCUCAGGCAAUGUGUCCAUCGAAUCUGAACUUCAGCCACCCUAUGGUACCCUUUACACCAUCUACCUAAAAGAUCUGUGUGUGUUCUUGGGAAUUUGACAUCAAAACCCACUUCUAAUCCAGAGUUUAUGGUGGAGAGAGGGACCCUACAGGCAGCUCAUGGUUCCUACUCUGCUGGUUCUCCAGCAGCACCCGUGUGUCCUCCAGGUCCCAGGUGAGGUGGUGACACUUCCUCUUCAGCUGGUGAGCCAUCUUCUUGGCCUCUUCAUACGCACUCUGCAGCUCCCCAAGCUAUGGAGAGAAGAGAGUGAGAGGUUCGCUGGUGCCCCCUGUUUCCAAGCUCUGUCCGGGCCUUCAUCUCCGAGUCCAAUCUCUCCUCGCACUGUUGAAGGCGCUUGCGUAGGAAAUCGUUCUCCAUCUGAGCACAGUCCAAACGCAUCUGCCACUCUUCUGCUGUGUGACAGAGGCGGCAGCUGCCUCCAUUCAGCAGGAGAGAAUCCACAUCAUAGUGGGAACUGGACAAAGAUGUCCCGAUCCCAUCCAACCAUGAAUGCCAAGUCCCUAGGCAGUGGCAUAACCAGUGCACUGAUGCUGCCUGCCUCUCACUGGGCAGUCACUCUGAGAGUCAGCCUCAACUUGAUCAUGUAUGUGAAAGCAUGCAGAGCCCGUAUUCCUCAUGAAGAGGUAGCUGAUGGCUAUGGGUUAGUCUACUCCAUAUGGCCCAGCUCUGCUUGUUCAUCAUCUAGGACCAGCUACACUUGAAUGUGAGGAAUCUGGGGCUCAGGGUGACUUUGAAUAGCAUGGUAUGAUUCAAAUACAGAGGGGAAAUUA
rnacentral:lncRNA from 1 species